AACGAACGCUGGCGGCAUGCCUAACACAUGCAAGUCGAACGAGACCUUCGGGUCUAGUGGCGCACGGGUGCGUAACGCGUGGGAACCUGCCCUUAGGUUCGGAAUAACUCCCCGAAAGGGGUGCUAAUGCCGGAUAAUGUCUUCGGACCAAAGAUUUAUCGCCUUUGGAUGGGCCCGCGUUGGAUUAGCUAGUUGGUAGGGUAAAAGCCUACCAAGGCGGCGAUCCAUAGCUGGUCUGAGAGGAUGAUCAGCCACACUGGGACUGAGACACGGCCCAGACUCCUACGGGAAGCAGCAGUGGGGAAUAUUGGACAAUGGGCGAAAGCCUGAUCCAGCAAUGCCGCGUGAGUGAUGAAGGCCUUAGGGUUGUAAAGCUCUUUUACCCGGGAUGAUAAUGACAGUACCGGGAGAAUAAGCUCCGGCUAACUCCGUG
rnacentral:rRNA from 1 species